rnacentral:rRNA from 1 species
AGAGUUUGAUCCUGGCUCAGAAUCAACGCUGGCGGCGUGCCUAACACAUGCAAGUCGAACGAGAAAGUCCGCAAGGAUGAGUACAGUGGCGACCGGGUGAGUAACACGUGACUACCUACCUCCGAAUGGGGAAUAACUCCGGGAACGGGCGUAAUACCGCAUAACAUCGCAAGAUCAAAGCCGAAAGGCGUUUGGAGAGG